UUUCCGUAGGUGAACCUGCGGAAGGAUCAUUAUUGUAUAACCGAGGUGCGAGGGCUGUCGCUGACCCGAAAGGUCGUGCACGCCCGAGUGCCCUCACACACAUCCAUCUCACCCCUAUGUGCACCACCGCGUGGGUCCACCUUUGGCUUGUUCGGAGGGGGGCUUACGUUUUCACACAAACUUUGUAUGCAGUGUAGAAUGUAUUUUCUGUUUUUGCGAUCACGCAAUCAAUACAACUUUCAACAACGGAUCUCUUGGCUCUC
rnacentral:misc_RNA from 1 species